GCCAAAACUCUGGUCAAAACCCAUACACCCUUCGUACCCAUCUUUCCCUUUUCUCUUCCUGUGUUCUUCUUCCUUCCCUCUGCCCUAUCUCUUUAUAGAUCCAUGUUCUGCUUUUGAAUUUUGAAAAAGAGGUUUUGAUUUUCAAAUCUCUACUCUCUCCCUCAAUUGCCUAUUCGUGCAUCUUUCAAAUCUCUAAUCAGAUUUCAAAAUUCAAAUGGAUUUCAAACACCCACCUCUAAAUCCCCCCUUCAUUCAAAUGACAAAAACCCUAAACAGAUUUCAAAAUACAGACAACGUUCUUUCUCUUUCAUGGUUCUCUUUCUCGCUCUAGAAGUUGUUCAAAUGCUCGUCGUAUGCCGAUCACUCCGACUCCGCCAUCUUCUGGUCUCCAUGUGUCGAAAUAUGGCGAUAAAUUGACAUCAGAGUUAAUGGCGGCGCUAUCUAGAGAUCUAUUCAAGGAUUUUGUACGAUUUCCGUAGAAGGUUGCAGAUUCCAUGGUUUUGUUCCUCUGUAGUGGUGUGGUGCUGAUGGGGAUUCGGAAAUAAUUUAGCAGGACCAAGAUUCCCUUUUCAAAGAUGAUGAGUUAUGAAAUCUCCAUAUAGGAUGGAAAGAGAGCUUAAACCUCAUUUGUCUAUUCUGGUUGGCUAAUACUACUAUUAGGUUGAAGAUUACAAAACUAAAGGUGUAUAUAGUCUACCCUAAAGAUUUUGCAACCAUUUAAAAUAUCAUUCCGCUAACAGAAAUCGAUUGGAUAUAUUUGUUUGUGGCAACCAAAUACGCAAGGGUGUUGCUCUUAAAGCCGUUCGGAUCGCAGAGAUGUUGCUGUAACCGAGAUGUUUAGUUUAUUCAGGUUCAGGUAAAUUAAGAUGUUGAAUUAGCUGUUGAAGAGAAUCUGCAUUGUUUUAAAAAGUAGCAACGAAUCAACGAUACUAAUUAUAUCUGAACCAGGUGUCGCACCUUCUAUAUCAAAUGAAAAUGUGGUAACAGUAAAAAAUGCAAAUGUACUUGUGGAGUCGCAAGAUGAUGAUAAGAUGCAAGACCAGAGAGUUUAAACACGUUUGGUUUGAUUUGAUGUCUUUUUUUUUUAAAUCGAUUUAUUUAAACAAGUUAAAUGACAUGAUGAUAUAGGUUUUUAGUAGUAUUCGAAUCAUUAACUAUUUGUAUUUGACCAAAACUAAAAAAAAUAUAACCAUUUGAAAAGGUUAGUCAUUUUUUAGAUUAAAAAAGGAGUAAAAUCUUUACAUCGAGAAUGUCCUCAAGCAAUAAGAUGGACACCCAAGAUUUCUUGCGACACUAAUUAUAUAAGUUGCGUUUAACUUCUUACGACACUAAAGGUAAGUACCCUAUCUUUAUUGUCUCUUGCUUUACAUACAUUAUUCUGAACUCAAAUUCGUAAAUAAUGGAUAAAAUGUGUAAUAGUUCACAUUUAUAUAUUUUUUUUAUUCGAAGUUUAUAAAUGCAACAUGGUGGAAUUUUUGUUUAAUUGAGGCUGAAUAUAUGGGACUUUGAGUCUCAAAAGAUGGUGAUUUACAUUGCGUAACUAUGAAUCUUAAAGUAGUUAUUAAUAUGAAGUCACUGAACUUCAAACGAAGCAUGCAAUUUGAUAUAAGAGAUUAAAGAAUUGAAGGA
rnacentral:lncRNA from 1 species